rnacentral:rRNA from 1 species
AUGAGAUUUCUUUCUACGGAUAUGAAGGAUAGAAAUAUGCUAUUUGCUGCUAUUACAACGAAUCAACCAAUUCAUAGUAAGUGUUCCCGUCUUCCCGAUCUACAUGAUUUUUUCCCAACCAACAUCUCUCAGAACUUUGCUAUAACGCCAAACUUGGAUAUAACGCCAACGCCUGAGCGAAUUGCUGGCGUCACAAUAGUUUUACAAAUAGAAGAGUAUUUGGGCCAAAAUGAGUCUGAACAGGGAGCAGUCAAUUUAGCUAGAACAGUAUUGGGAGCCCGCCACCGAAAUGGCGAAACUUGGCAGGGCAUAUUAGAGGAUAUUCGGGCGGGUGGUGGUAUGGAUAAUUUUAUCCAGAAUCUGCCUGGUGCCUACCCGGAAACCCCAUUGGAUCAAUUUGCCAUUAUCCCAAUAAUUGAUCUUCAUGUGGGCAACUUUUAUUUAUCAUUUACAAAUGAAGUCUUGUAUAUGCUGCUCACUGUCAUUUUGGUCGGAGGUGGAAAGUCAGUGCCAAAUGCAUGGCAAUCCUUGGUCGAGCUUAUUUAUGAUUUCGUGCUGAACCUGGUAAACGAACAAAUAGGUGGUCUUUCUAGAAAUGUGAAACAAAAGUUUUUCCCUCGCAUCUCGGUCACUUUUACUUUUUCGUUAUUUCGUAAUCCCCAGGGUAUGAUACCCUUUAGCUUCACAGUGACAAGUCAUUUUCUCAUUACUUUGGCUCUUUCAUUUUCCAUUUUUAUAGGCAUUACGAUCGUUGGAUUUCAAAGACAUGGGCUUCAUUUUUUUAGCUUCUUAUUACCUGCGGGAGUCCCACUGCCGUUAGCACCUUUCUUAGUACUCCUUGAGCUAAUCUCUUAUUGUUUUCGUGCAUUAAGCUUAGGAAUACGUUUAUUUGCUAAUAUGAUGGCCGGUCAUAGUUUAGUAAAGAUUUUAAGUGGGUUUGCUUGGACUAUGUUAUUUCUGAAUAAUAUUUUCUAUUUCAUAGGAGAUCUUGGUCCCUUAUUUAUAGUUCUAGCAUUAAUCGGUCUGGGAUUAGGUGUAGCUAUAUCACAAGCUCAUGUUUCUACGAUCUCAAUUUGUAUUUACUUGAAUGAUGCUACAAAUCUCCAUCAAAAUGAGUCAUUUCAUAAUUGA